CCUACGGGAGGCAGCAGUGGGGAAUUUUGGACAAUGGGCGAAAGCCUGAUCCAGCAAUGCCGCGUGAGUGAAGAAGGCCUUCGGGUUGUAAAGCUCUUUUGUCAGGGAAGAAACGGUGAGAGCUAAUAUCUCUUGCUAAUGACGGUACCUGAAGAAUAAGCACCGGCUAACUACGUGCCAGCAGCCGCGGUAAUACGUAGGGUGCAAGCGUUAAUCGGAAUUACUGGGCGUAAAGCGUGCGCAGGCGGUUUUGUAAGUCUGAUGUGAAAUCCCCGGGCUCAACCUGGGAAUUGCAUUGGAGACUGCAAGGCUAGAAUCUGGCAGAGGGGGGUAGAAUUCCACGUGUAGCAGUGAAAUGCGUAGAUAUGUGGAGGAACACCGAUGGCGAAGGCAGCCCCCUGGGUCAAGAUUGACGCUCAUGCACGAAAGCGUGGGGAGCAAACAGGAUUAGAUACCCUGGUAGUCCACGCCCUAAACGAUGUCUACUAGUUGUCGGGUCUUAAUUGACUUGGUAACGCAGCUAACGCGUGAAGUAGACCGCCUGGGGAGUCGGUCGCAAGAUUAAAACUCAAAUGAAUUGACCGGNNGAGAGNGCGAGGACGACGACGAGGGAGAGG
rnacentral:rRNA from 1 species